CGCGGAGACGCCUACUGUCCGCAGCCUGGGCUGAGCGCGAUGUCGCCCCACACACUGCUUCUGCUGCUCGCGGCCGCCGCGGGACUGAGCCAGACCUGGGCGGGCGCCCACUCGCUGCUCUACUUCAAGACCGCCGUGUCCCGGCUCGGCCGCGGGGAGCCGCGGUUCAUCCUCGUCGGCUACGUGGACGACACGCAGUUCGUGCGCUUCGACAGCGACGCGGGGACGCGGAGGAUGGAGCCGCGGGCGCCGUGGAUGCGGCAGGUGGGGGCCGACUACUGGGACCUGGAGACGAGGAGCGCCCAGAACGAUGAGCAGACUUCGCGGGUGAACCUGCGGACCCUGCUGGGAUACUACAACCAGAGCGACGGCGGCUCUCACACCAUCCAGGUGAUGCACGGUUGUUCUGUGGGUCCUGAUGGACGCCUGCUCCGCGGGUACAAUCAACACGCCUAUGAUGGCCGCGAUUACAUCUCCCUGAACGAGGACCUGCGCUCCUGGACCGCGGCAGACACGGCGGCUCAGAUCACCCUGCGCAAGUGGGAGCAGGCUGAGGUGGCAGAGAGCUGGAGGGCCUACCUGGAGGGCACGUGCGUGGAGUGGCUCCACAGACACCUGCAGAACGGGAACGAGACUCUGCUGCGCACAGAUCCCCCAAAGUCACAGGUGACUCACCACCCCAGACCUGAAGGGGGUGUCACCCUGAGGUGCUGGGCCCGGUACUUCUACCCUGAGGAGAUCACCCUGAACUGGGAGCGGGAGGGAGAGGACCUGACCCAGGACAUGGAGCUUGUGGAGACCAGGCCUUCAGGGGAUGGAAGCUUCCAGAAGUGGGCUGCUGUGGUGGUGCCUUCUGGAGAGGAGCAGAAAUACACAUGCCACGUGCAGCAUGAAGGGCUGCCUGAGCCACUCACCGUGAGAUGGGAACCACCUCAGUCCCCCAUCCUCAUCAUAGCAGUGGUCACUGUCCUUGUGGUUCUCUUGGGCACUGGAGCUGCGGUUAUUGUGAGGAGGAGGAGGAAAUCAGGUGGAAAAGGAGGAAACUAUGCUCAGGCUCCGAACAGGGACAGUGCCAAGAGCUCUGACGUGUCUCUCACAGCUUGAAAAGGUGACACCCCAAGGGCGGGAAUUGGAAAGGGGGCAGAAGGGACAGAACUGUGUCACAGGACUCUCGGAGUCUGGACCUGUGAAGGAGAGCUGCCUUGUGGGACUGAAGGGCAGAAGAAGGGUUCACAUCUCUUAUUGUGACUCAGAAACCAAAUCUUCUUUCACCAGUGGUGUUGAACUUGUCUGUGUUGCCAGCGUGUCCACAUCCACCUCCUGUCCCCAGGACCACUGGGGAGAUGAGGUCACCCCCACAGUCAGAUGCUUUCUUUGCCCUGUCCUGUGUGUCCAUCCAAAACCCCUCUCUUGCAGCUCAGUGCAUUUCACUUCCCCGCUGGACAUAACAAUCUUAUUUUGAUUCAAAAUCUUAAUGUAGGACAUUGGUGGGUCAAUUAACAGAUAUGUUAUUCUAAAAUUUGAUGGAGGAAAUAAAGGGUUGCCUUGAGGACCUUCCAGAA